UACCAGCUCUUCGAGUGGUGUGGAUGUUUAUUGGGCCUAAAGCAUCCGUAGCUGGCUGGGCAAGUCCCCUGUUAAAUCCACCGAUUUAAUCGUUGGAGUGCGGGGGAUACUGUUCGGCUAGGGGACGGGAGAGGCAGACGGUAUUUUCGGGGUAGGGGUGAAAUCCUAUAAUCCCGGGAAGACCACCAGUGGCGAAGGCUGUCUGCUAGAACGCGCCCGACGGUGAGGGAUGAAAGCUGGGGGAGCGAACCGGAUUAGAUACCCGGGUAGUCCCAGCUGUAAACGAUGCAGGCUAGGUGUUUGGGCGGCCACGUGCCGCUCUAGUGCCGCAGGGAAGCCGUUAAGCCCGCCGCCUGGGGAGUACGGCCGCAAGGCUGAAACUUAAAGGAAUUGGCGGGGAGCACCACAAGGCGUGAAGCUUGCGGUUC
rnacentral:rRNA from 1 species